rnacentral:rRNA from 1 species
GACGAACGCUGGCGGCGUGCCUAAUACAUGCAAGUAGGACGCACAGUUUAUACCGUAGCUUGCUACACCAUAGACUGUGAGUUGCGAACGGGUGAGUAACGCGUAGGUAACCUGCCUGGUAGCGGGGGAUAACUAUUGGAAACGAUAGCUAAUACCGCAUAAUAUUAAUUAUUGCAUGAUAAUUAAUUGAAAGGUGCAAUUGCACCACUACCAGAUGGACCUGCGUUGUAUUAGCUAGUAGGUGAGGUAACGGCUCACCUAGGCGACGAUACAUAGCCGACCUGAGAGGGUGAUCGGCCACACUGGGACUGAGACACGGCCCAGACUCCUACGGGAGGCAGCAGUAGGGAAUCUUCGGCAAUGGACGAAAGUCUGACCGAGCAACGCCGCGUGAGUGAAGAAGGUUUUCGGAUCGUAAAGCUCUGUUGUAAGAGAAGAACGGGUGUGAGA